CACUGGACUGAGACACGGUCCAGACUCCUACGGGAGGCAGCAGUGGGGAAUAUUGCACAAUGGGCGCAAGCCUGAUGCAGCCAUGCCGCGUGUGUGAAGAAGGCCUUCGGGUUGUAAAGCACUUUCAGUCGUGAGGAAGGUAGUGUAGUUAAUAGCUGCAUUAUUUGACGUUAGCGACAGAAGAAGCACCGGCUAACUCCGUGCCAGCAGCCGCGGUAAUACGGAGGGUGCGAGCGUUAAUCGGAAUUACUGGGCGUAAAGCGCAUGCAGGUGGUUUGUUAAGUCAGAUGUGAAAGCCCGGGGCUCAACCUCGGAAUAGCAUUUGAAACUGGCAGACUAGAGUACUGUAGAGGGGGGUAGAAUUUCAGGUGUAGCGGUGAAAUGCGUAGAGAUCUGAAGGAAUACCGGUGGCGAAGGCGGCCCCCUGGACAGAUACUGACACUCAGAUGCGAAAGCGUGGGGAGCAAACAGGAUUAGAUACCCUGGUAGUCCACGCCGUAAACGAUGUCUACUUGGAGGUUGUGGCCUUGAGCCGUGGCUUUCGGAGCUAACGCGUUAAGUAGACCGCCUGGGGAGUACGGUCGCAAGAUUAAAACUCAAAUGAAUUGACGGGGGCCCGCACAAGCGGUGGAGCAUGUGGUUUAAUUCGAUGCAACG
rnacentral:rRNA from 1 species